GUGGGGAAUCUUAGACAAUGGGCGCAAGCCUGAUCUAGCCAUGCCGCGUGAGCGAUGAAGGCCUUAGGGUUGUAAAGCUCUUUCGUGGGGGAAGAUAAUGACUGUACCCCAAGAAGAAGCCCCGGCUAACUCCGUGCCAGCAGCCGCGGUAAUACGGAGGGGGCUAGCGUUGUUCGGAAUUACUGGGCGUAAAGCGCACGUAGGCGGACUGGAAAGUCAGGGGUGAAAUCCCGGGGCUCAACCCCGGAACUGCCUUUGAAACUCCCAGUCUUGAGGUCGAGAGAGGUGAGUGGAAUUCCGAGUGUAGAGGUGAAAUUCGUAGAUAUUCGGAGGAACACCAGUGGCGAAGGCGGCUCACUGGCUCGAUACUGACGCUGAGGUGCGAAAGCGUGGGGAGCAAACAGGAUUAGAAACCCCUCUAGUCC
rnacentral:rRNA from 1 species